UUGACCUCAAAUCAGGUAGGACUACCCGCUGAACUUAAGCAUAUCAAUAAGCGGAGGAAAAGAAACUAACAAGGAUUCCCCUAGUAACUGCGAGUGAAGAGGGAAAAGCUCAAAUUUAAAAUCUGGCAGCUUCGCUGUCCGAGUUGUAUUUAG
rnacentral:rRNA from 1 species